UACAAGCUGAAAAAAGGAGUGUAGCGGCAUCCUUUUGCGUUUGGCAAAAGAUAUAGUGCAAGGCCUGUUUUUUG
rnacentral:misc_RNA from 1 species